GCCUAGCUGUCGAUGUUAUUAUAAAGGCAGAAGUUUUCAGCCUGGAGAAAUUUUGCCCACACCAUCGGGAUCAUGCCAAUGUCUAAACGGAACAAUGAAAUGCAAUGAAGCACCAGCUGUCCCAGCAGUGCACUCAUGUCCUGAUGGAAAGAUCUACUAUGACUGCCAAUCUCAUAUACCUGGCUUGCCAUCAGCUGGAAUAAACUGUGAACUAACAUGUAUAAAUAUUGCUAUGAACUUUACCUGUACACCUUCUCCACCAUGUUUGAAUGGUUGCAU